rnacentral:rRNA from 1 species
AAAGGCCUGCAGCUUGCUGCGGGUACUCGAGUGGCGAACGGGUGAGUAACACGUGGGUGAUCUGCCUUGCACUUCGGGAUAAGCUUGGGAAACUGGGUCUAAUACCGGAUAGGACAGCUGUUUAGUGUCAGUUGUGGAAAGUUUUUUCGGUGCAAGAUGAGCUCGCGGCCUAUCAGCUUGUUGGUGGGGUAAUGGCCUACCAAGGCGUCGACGGGUAGCCGGCCUGAGAGGGUGUACGGCCACAUUGGGACUGAGAUACGGCCCAGACUCCUACGGGAGGCAGCAGUGGGGAAUAUUGCACAAUGGGCGGAAGCCUGAUGCAGCGACGCCGCGUGGGGGAUGAAGGCCUUCGGGUUGUAAACUCCUUUCGACAGGGACGAAGCGUAAGUGACGGUACCUGUAUAAGAAGCACCGGCUAACUACGUGCCAGCAGCCGCGGUAAUACGUAGGGUGCGAGCGUUGUCCGGAAUUACUGGGCGUAAAGAGCUCGUAGGUGGUUUGUCGCGUCGUCUGUGAAAUUCCGGGGCUUAACUCCGGGCGUGCAGGCGAUACGGGCUGACUUGAGUGCUGUAGGGGAGACUGGAAUUCCUGGUGUAGCGGUGAAAUGCGCAGAUAUCAGGAGGAACACCGAUGGCGAAGGCAGGUCUCUGGGCAGUAACUGACGCUGAGGAGCGAAAGCAUGGGUAGCGAACAGGAUUAGAUACCCUGGUAGUCCAUGCCGUAAACGGUGGGCGCUAGGUGUAGGGGGCUUCCACGUCUUCUGUGCCGUAGCUAACGCAUUAAGCGCCCCGCCUGGGGAGUACG